UUUCGGCUCUCCUCCAAUCCUGCCAUCUUUCUAUAAAAUCAAUCAAAAUCUGUCUUAAAAAAAAGAAAAUCAAUCAAAAUAUAAUAAAAAUGGCUAGAUCUCUUUCCAAUUCUUUCUCCUCCGCAACAUCUACCAAUAUUUAUCAAUUUUCGACACUAUUCUAAGCAGUCAAAGCCAUUUUCCGGUGAAAUCUCACGACAGAGGAGGUUGAGAAGGUUUGGAUGAAGUAAAGCGAUGCUGCUCAACCCAGAGAAGAAGAAUACGGUGGCAGCCACGCACGACAAUGGAAAGAUAAGUUCUUGUUCUUUCUCUUCUACAGAUUUAAAAGUUAGGGUUAUGAUUUGGUAUUCUUCUCUUUCUUUUCUUUCUGAAACUUAUAAAUUCUGUUUAACUAAUGUCAUAUCUAAAUUUAGAUCUAUGAUGCGUAGGAUAAACAUUUGGAGAGAUCAUUGCCUUUAACUUCGAAAGGAUUGAAUGGUAAAGAUAAGGAUAGAUUAUCGGCACAGUCGAUUAUUAGUACUACUGUUGGUAAACAGUCGUCUGAUUAGAGAGAUUCUCGCGAUGUUCCUCUCUCUAAGAUUUGUUGCUCCGUGAGCGCAUUAAUACUACUGUCGCACUUCUGCUUCAAGGUGAAGUUCACUCAAGAUUUCUAUUGCACAAUAGGGUCCAUGUCGCCUUGGAGUCAGAGAUUCAGUUGAGUUAUGUAGGGCUGCUUGCGUAAAGAAUUGCAGAUGAAAACUAAUUGAGAAGAUUAAGUACUGCAUAUAUAUGAUUUUUUCUAGGUCAGCAUCAUUGAAAGAAAAGAGAUUCUUGUAGAAUUAUUUUUAUUUGAUAUCUUGUUAUUCUUAUCUCACUUCCAUUUGAGUUGUACGAAAAUUUUAUCAAUUUAAUUAUAAGUUUCGAUAACUUUUCAGUA